GAUGAACGCUGGCGGCGUGCCUAAUACAUGCAAGUAGAACGCUGAAGCUUGGUGCUUGCACCGAGCGGAUGAGUUGCGAACGGGUGAGUAACGCGUAGGUAACCUGCCUCUUAGCGGGGGAUAACUAUUGGAAACGAUAGCUAGUACCGCAUAAAAGUCGAUAUCGCAUGAUAUUGAUUUGAAAGGUGCAAAUGCAUCACUAAGAGAUGGACCUGCGUUGUAUUAGCUAGUUGGUGAGGUAACGGCUCACCAAGGCGACGAUACAUAGCCGACCUGAGAGGGUGGUCGGCCACACUGGGACUGAGACACGGCCCAGACUCCUACGGGAGGCAGCAGUAGGGAAUCUUCGGCAAUGGGGGCAACCCUGACCGAGCAACGCCGCGUGAGUGAAGAAGGUUUUCGGAUCGUAAAGCUCUGUUGUAAGAGAAGAACGAGUGUGAGAGUGGAAAGUUCACACUGUGACGGUAACUUACCAGAAAGGGACGGCUAACUACGUG
rnacentral:rRNA from 1 species